rnacentral:lncRNA from 1 species
CUGGAACAGAUCUUCCUGGAAGCAAUGAGCUAAGAGCCCAGCAGAAUCAUGUCCCAGCAAAGCUUCGCAAAGAUGUCAGUAUUAAUUGUCACCAUCCUCCAGGGAGAAAGCAACAGCCCACAAUUGCCUGCAUUUUCUUUCCUCUUCAAAACCACUUCUGCUCCAAAGACCAUGAACCUGAACUGAAGAAACGACUCCUUCCUGCUGGUGUGAGAUAAUUCAGUCUCCAUGAUGUCUUAAUCCUGGGCCUCCCUUAAUUGACUUCUAACUGUGCUGAACUGUGGCUGCUAGGAGUUGCAAUGUGGAUCGCAAUUUACAAGGCACUGGAAUCGUUUCUUGUCUUCAAAUUAGUCCUGAGCUGUACUGGAGAAAGAAAAAAAAGGGGCCUUUACCCUUCUUGCUGUCUUGUCACCACAAGUGAGACUUUCUUACAGUCUCAGAAUGGAUGGUUGCCUUUUAACAAUUUAGUUAGGGACAGAAAGGAAAAAGAGUUAGGGUUGCCAAUACUUCGUCAAUUUUGUCUUAAUAAAGUUGCCUCACAUGGCC